AAAGUUUGAUCCUGGCUCAGAGUGAACGCUGGCGGCGUGCUUAACAYAUGCAAGUCGAACGAWGAAGUCCUUCGGGAUGGAUUAGUGGCGCACGGGUGAGUAAUAUACAGUUAAUGUACCUUCAAGACUGGGAUAGCCACUGGAAACGGUGAUUAAUACUAGAUAUACCUCUUUAACAUAAGUUAGAGUGGGAAAUGUUUUUUCKYUUGWAGAUCAGACUAUAUCCCAUCAGUUUGUUGGCGAGGUAAUGGCUCACCAAGGCAAUGACGGGUAGCGGGUUUGAGAGGAUGAUCCGCCACACUGGUACUGAGACACGGACCAGACUCCUACGGGAGGCAGCAGUGAGGAAUAUUGCACAAUGGGGGAAACCCUGAUGCAGCAACGCCGCGUGGAGGAUGACGCAUUUCGGUGUGUAAACUCCUUUUAUGAGUCAAGAAAAUGACGGUAGCUCAUGAAUAAGCACCGGCUAACUCCGUGCCWRCAGYCGCGGUAAUACGGAGGGUGCAAGCGUUACUCGGAAUCWCUGGGCGUAAAGGACGCGUAGGCGGGUUGGUAAGUCAGAUGUGAAAUCYUACAGCUCAACUGUARAACUGCAUUUGAAACUACCGACCUAKAGUAUGGGAGGGGGGAGAUGGAA
rnacentral:rRNA from 1 species